UCCACCGUGAGAUGGAAUCCGAAGGAAGUCCUAGGCAAACUGCUGAACUGAUGUACAAGAAGUGGCUAUAAGGCUGGACGAGCUGGAUAAGAUUGCUAGACGAAUCAAAGUCCGAUACUACUCAGAGCGAACUCCAGUAAAGCCAACAGUUGCAUGGCAGGAAAGCAUUCAUC
rfam:Lactobacillus ghanensis DSM 18630 NODE_33, whole genome shotgun sequence.